rnacentral:rRNA from 1 species
CUACGGGGGGCACCAGUGGGGAAUAUUGGACAAUGGGGGAAACCCUGAUCCAGCAAUGCCGCGUGUGUGAAGAAGGCCUGCGGGUUGUAAAGCACUUUCGGUUGGGAGGACUGCUUCUAGCACUAAUAUUGUUGGAAGUUGACGUUACCUUCAGAAGAAGCACCGGCUAACUCCGUGCCAGCAGCCGCGGUAAUACGGAGGGUGCAAGCGUUAAUCGGAAUUACUGGGCGGAAAGCGCGCGUAGGCGGCUAGAUCAGUCGGGUGUGAAAGCCCCGGGCUUAACCUGGGAACUGCAUCCGAUACUGUCUAGCUUGAGUACAGGAGAGGAGAGUGGAAUCCCACAUGUAGCGGUGAAAUGCGUAGAUAUGUGGAGGAACACCAAUGGCGAAGGCAGCUCUCUGGCCUGAUACUGACGCUGAGGUGCGAAGGCGUGGGGAGCAAACAGGAUUAGAUACCCCAGUAGUC